rfam:Lactobacillus wasatchensis strain WDC04 contig00004, whole genome shotgun sequence.
AAGAUUAAGCAGAAGCACCCGCUUCUCGCCUUAGUGAUUUGGUCGCUGGGCUUACGAGAUUAAUGAGUAGUUCUUGGUAGAACUGCUAGUGGCGGGGUGCGUGUGCACCUCGCCUUUUGCUUUUCUUU